AACGAACGCUGGCGGCAGGCCUAACACAUGCAAGUCGAGCGCCCCGCAAGGGGAGCGGCAGACGGGUGAGUAACGCGUGGGAAACUACCCUUUGGUACGGAACAACUCGGCGAAAGCUGAGCUAAUACCGUAUGUGUCCUUCGGGAGGAAAGAUUUAUCGCCAAAGGAUGUGCCCGCGUCGGAUUAGCUAGUUGGUGGGGUAACGGCCCACCAAGGCGACGAUCCGUAGCUGGUCUGAGAGGAUGAUCAGCCACACUGGGACUGAGACACGGCCCAGACUCCUACGGGAGGGCAGCAGUGGGGAAUAUUGGACAAAUGGGGGGCAACCCUGAUCCAGCCAUGCCGCGUGAGUGAUGAAGGCCUUAGGGUUGUAAAGCUCUUUCGCCCGCGAAGAUAAUGACUGUAGCGGGAGAAGAAGCCCCGGCUAACUUCGUGCCAG
rnacentral:rRNA from 1 species